GUGUAUUGCUCUGCCAUGUGCGUGCAUCUCUUGGGCUGACUGGCAGAACGCUCCACAGCUGUGACAUGGGAUCUGGUGUGUGGCUGCGGGCAGCUGCUGCUCAAGAUGGAGGGACGAACAGCUGCGUUGAAUCUAGACCAUCAAUUGCUGAGCAACUCGGUUGCUGUGCUAGGGCAUGAAACAGGGUAUACCUUGUCCAGAGGGAGCACAGCAGUGUUGUUCACGCAGUGUGAGAUAUCCUUUUGUGUGUAACUCUAGAGGGAGGGAUAGCUGUGUGAGCUGCUACCGAGUGGUGAAUGGUAGCUGAUCAGCAGUUGCUGAUGAGUGCAGAGAAACUGACAAGAAGAGUGUUUUAGAGUAAACUGCUUUUUUCACCAGACAUGGUACUGCCACAGAAAAGGCAAAGGAUAAGUUCUACCUGAAGUUGACUAUAUCAAGUGCAAGAGAUUUCCUCUGUAGCAUGUCUAGUUAAAGAUGAAGAUUCUCACUGUGGACCAGCAGACCCCACUUCUGUGAGUGGAUUUAUCCUGGAAUGCUGAGGACUUGUGUAUGAGUACACCACAGUUCUGUGAGAUUACCAAAGGUUUGAGGAACACAACUGAAAUGCAUCCUGGCAGCACUGCUGAUUCUGAUAUCCUUUGCUAUUAUGAGUAUAGAGAAUGAUGUCUGGUAUCUGAAACUGAGGAGAACUUAGAAUUUUGAAAUACUUACCAGCAGUAAAAUAAAAAUGCAAGUAGUUGGGAGAAUUCCUGUAAAGUGAUAUUUGGCCAUACAACAGUUAGUAUAAAGGUGGCCUGAAUUAAAGGAACUUAGAGUGAAGCAGGACUUUUUCCAAAUGCUUUAUAUACUCUUCAGGAAAAAUAAAAGACAA